rnacentral:rRNA from 1 species
UACGAAGGGGGCUAGCGUUGCUCGGAAUCACUGGGCGUAAAGCGCGCGCAGGCGGUCUUCCAAGUCAGUGGUGAAAGCCCGGAGCUCAACUCCGGAAUUGCCAUUGAAACUGUUGGACUUGAGUACGAGAGAGGUGAGUGGAAUUCCCAGUGUAGAGGUGAAAUUCGUAGAUAUUGGGAAGAACACCGGUGGCGAAGGCGGCUCACUGGCUCGUAACUGACGCUCAAGCGCGACAGCGUGGGGAUCAAACAGG